rnacentral:lncRNA from 1 species
AAAUCGAUCUCUGAAUGAGCUAUGAAAUGGGUUGAAGUUUGAAAUAAUAACUGGGAUUUGUGUGGUCAUCCUAGGUUCAUCUUGCUGCUCUAUUUUUUUCUUAUUUGUAUUAGCCUCUUCUAUGAUUUCAUAUGUGUGCAAAGGAAUGUUCGUAUGGUCCUCUAGUCUCAGAAUCCAUCGAAACAUGUGAUUGUGUGCUCAUCUGCCUCUUCUGUUAGUGUCCAGCCAUAGUCGAUUUAUUUAAUGUGUAAACUUUUAGGGGUUGGUUUCCAAAUGGCUUGAAGAUUAACUUUGCUCGUUUUCUUUGUCAUAGGUUGUCCGAGUUGGUUUGAUUGCUAGUCGACUGAGUUUGAAUGGCUCGUGUGUUUGUGAAGUUCUCAGUUUGUUUGUGUACUGAUCGCAAAUCAGUCGAGUUUGCUACUUUUGUUUAUGCACUAAUGCUGAAAAUGCACAGACUAUCUUGGCACAUGUUUUCCAAUUUGCUUGGUCUAUUUUUGUUGAAAUCAGGUACCCACUUGGAGAACAGGGAGAUACAUUUCAAGUUUUGCAAUCAGGUGCCCACCUGGAGAGCACAAGAAUACAGUUUAAGUUUAGCAAUCAGGCACCCACCUGGAGAGCACGUGAAUACAGUUCAAGUUUAGUAAUCAGGCGCUCACCUAGAGAGCACGGGAAUACAAUCAAGUUCAGCAGUCAGGCGCCCACCUGGAGAGCAUGGGAAUACAAUUCAAGUUCAGCAAUCAGGCGCCCACCUAUAGAGCACGGGAAUACAGUUCAAGUGCAGAAGUCAGGCCCGCACCUUAGGAGCACGGGAAUACAAUUCAAGUGCAGCAAUCAGGUGCCCACCUGGAUAGCACGGGAAUACAGUUCAAGUUCAGCAAUCAGGCGCCCACCUGGAGAGCACGGGAAUACAAUUCAAGUUCAGCAAUCAGGCGCCCGCCUGGAGAGCACGGGAAUACAAUUGAAGUCAGCAAUCAAGCACCUAUCGAGAGAGCACGGGAAUACAUUUCAAGUUCAGUAGUCAAGCGCCCACCUGGAGAGCACAGGAAUACAUUUCAAGUUCAGCAUCCAGGCGCCCACCUGGAGAGCACGGCAAUACAAUUCAAGUUCAUUAGUCAGGCACCCACCUGGAGAGCACAUGAAUAUAGUUCAAAGUUCAACAAUCAGGCGUCCACCUGGAGAAAAGGGAAAACAUCUCAGAUUAUAAUUCAAAUCGGCAACAAAGGGACUUCACUGGGAUAACACAAGUCAACAAGGCAACAAGAACCACAAGAUAAAGUUUGAAGAUAUAGAUAGGGAUUUUGUAAUUCCUAGGUCAUAGUUUAGUCUAGUUUCUAUUUAUUUUGUCAUAGAGCAAUAAGGGGUUCAGCAAGCAGUAGCAGCAACAUUAGCAACAGUGAAAUCACAGCUUCAUGGUACUCCCAGCUACCGAAUAUUUUCGAACUACAUUGACCUAAUUCCUUUUUAGUCAAGAAAAUGUAAGCAACCUCGGAAGCAGGGUGCGGUCAAAUCUUUCAAACAUGCUUCCCACGGAGUAUUCAAACGGGCAAAAAUCGUUCGUAUCCGCUCAUUUUAUCUUUCCACGAAAAUUCUUCGUGUUUCCGAGCAAGAGGGGCAGCUUGAGCACGUAAUUUUAUCCUAUAUGAAUUAUUCUCAUAAAAUAAAAAAAUAAAAAAAAUUUCCGCUGUUUGCAAUUUUGUG